UGGGGAAUUUUCCGCAAUGGGCGCAAGCCUGACGGAGUGACGCCGCGUGGGGGACGAAGGCCUUCGGGUCGUAAACCCCUGUCAGAGGGGACGAAGGGGUCGGCCGUGCUGAGCGGCGGGCCUUGACGGUACCCUCAGAGGAAGCCCCGGCCAACUCUGUGCCAGCAGCCGCGGUAAGACAGAGGGGGCAAGCGUUGCUCGGAAUUACUGGGCGUAAAGGGCGUGUAGGCGGAUCGGCAAGUCGGUUGUGAAAGCCUGCGGCUCAACCGCAGAAGGGCGUCCGAAACUGCCGGUCUGGAGGGGUGGAGAGGAGACUGGAAUUCCCGGUGUAGCGGUGAAAUGUGUAGAGAUCGGGAGGAACACCGGUGGCGAAGGCGGGUCUCUGGCCACACCCUGACGCUGAGGCGCGAAAGCGUGGGGAGCAAACGG
rnacentral:rRNA from 1 species